UUAAGCGACUAAGCGUACACGGUGGAUGCCCUGGCAGUCAGAGGCGAUGAAGGACGUGCUAAUCUGCGAUAAGCGUCGGUGAGGUGAUAUGAACCGUUAUAACCGGCGAUUUCCGAAUGGGGAAACCCAGUGUGUUUCGACACACUAUCAUUAACUGAAUCCAUAGGUUAAUGAGGCGAACCGGGGGAACUGAAACAUCUAAGUACCCCGAGGAAAAGAAAUCAACCGAGAUUCCCCCAGUAGCGGCGAGCGAACGGGGAGGAGCCCAGAGCCUGAAUCAGUGUGUGUGUUAGUGGAAGCGUCUGGAAAGGCGCGCGAUACAGGGUGACAGCCCCGUACACAAAAAUGCACAUAUUGUGAGCUCGAUGAGUAGGGCGGGACACGUGGUAUCCUGUCUGAAUAUGGGGGGACCAUCCUCCAAGGCUAAAUACUCCUGACUGACCGAUAGUGAACCAGUACCGUGAGGGAAAGGCGAAAAGAACCCCGGCGAGGGGAGUGAAAAAGAACCUGAAACCGUGUACGUACAAGCAGUGGGAGCCUCUUAAUGGGGUGACUGCGUACCUUUUGUAUAAUGGGUCAGCGACUUAUAUUCUGUAGCAAGGUUAACCGAAUAGGGGAGCCGAAGGGAAACCGAGUCUUAACUGGGCGUUAAGUUGCAGGGUAUAGACCCGAAACCCGGUGAUCUAGCCAUGGGCAGGUUGAAGGUUGGGUAACACUAACUGGAGGACCGAACCGACUAAUGUUGAAAAAUUAGCGGAUGACUUGUGGCUGGGGUGAAAGGCCAAUCAAACCGGGAGAUAGCUGGUUCUCCCCGAAAGCUAUUUAGGUAGCGCCUCGUGAAUUCAUCUCCGGGGUAGAGCACUGUUUCGGCAAGGGGUCAUCCCGACUUACCAACCCGAUGCAAACUGCGAAUACCGGAGAAUGUUAUCACGGGAGACACACGGCGGGUGCUAACGUCCGUCGUGAAGAGGGAAACAACCCAGACCGCCAGCUAAGGUCCCAAAGUCAUGGUUAAGUGGGAAACGAUGUGGGAAGGCCCAGACAGCCGGAUGUUGGCUUAGAAGCAGCCAUCAUUUAAAGAAAGCGUAAUAGCUCACUGGUCGAGUCGGCCUGCGCGGAAGAUGUAACGGGGCUAAACCAUGCACCGAAGCUGCGGCAGCGACACUAUGUGUUGUUGGGUAGGGGAGCGUUCUGUAAGCCUGUGAAGGUGUACUGUGAGGUAUGCUGGAGGUAUCAGAAGUGCGAAUGCUGACAUAAGUAACGAUAAAGCGGGUGAAAAGCCCGCUCGCCGGAAGACCAAGGGUUCCUGUCCAACGUUAAUCGGGGCAGGGUGAGUCGACCCCUAAGGCGAGGCCGAAAGGCGUAGUCGAUGGGAAACAGGUUAAUAUUCCUGUACUUGGUGUUACUGCGAAGGGGGGACGGAGAAGGCUAUGUUGGCCGGGCGACGGUUGUCCCGGUUUAAGCGUGUAGGCUGGUUUUCCAGGCAAAUCCGGAAAAUCAAGGCUGAGGCGUGAUGACGAGGCACUACGGUGCUGAAGCGACAAAUGCCCUGCUUCCAGGAAAAGCCUCUAAGCAUCAGGUAACAUCAAAUCGUACCCCAAACCGACACAGGUGGUCAGGUAGAGAAUACCAAGGCGCUUGAGAGAACUCGGGUGAAGGAACUAGGCAAAAUGGUGCCGUAACUUCGGGAGAAGGCACGCUGAUAUGUAGGUGAAGCGACUUGCUCGUGGAGCUGAAAUCAGUCGAAGAUACCAGCUGGCUGCAACUGUUUAUUAAAAACACAGCACUGUGCAAACACGAAAGUGGACGUAUACGGUGUGACGCCUGCCCGGUGCCGGAAGGUUAAUUGAUGGGGUUAGCGGUAACGCGAAGCUCUUGAUCGAAGCCCCGGUAAACGGCGGCCGUAACUAUAACGGUCCUAAGGUAGCGAAAUUCCUUGUCGGGUAAGUUCCGACCUGCACGAAUGGCGUAAUGAUGGCCAGGCUGUCUCCACCCGAGACUCAGUGAAAUUGAACUCGCUGUGAAGAUGCAGUGUACCCGCGGCAAGACGGAAAGACCCCGUGAACCUUUACUAUAGCUUGACACUGAACAUUGAGCCUUGAUGUGUAGGAUAGGUGGGAGGCUUUGAAGUGUGGACGCCAGUCUGCAUGGAGCCGACCUUGAAAUACCACCCUUUAAUGUUUGAUGUUCUAACGUGGGCCCCUUACCGGGGUUGCGGACAGUGUCUGGUGGGUAGUUUGACUGGGGCGGUCUCCUCCUAAAGAGUAACGGAGGAGCACGAAGGUUGGCUAAUCCUGGUCGGACAUCAGGAGGUUAGUGCAAUGGCAUAAGCCAGCUUGACUGCGAGCGUGACGGCGCGAGCAGGUGCGAAAGCAGGUCAUAGUGAUCCGGUGGUUCUGAAUGGAAGGGCCAUCGCUCAACGGAUAAAAGGUACUCCGGGGAUAACAGGCUGAUACCGCCCAAGAGUUCAUAUCGACGGCGGUGUUUGGCACCUCGAUGUCGGCUCAUCACAUCCUGGGGGCUGAAGUAGGUCCCAAGGGUAUGGCUGUUCGCCAUUUAAAGUGGUACGCGAGCUGGGUUUAGAACGUCGUGAGACAGUUCGGUCCCUAUCUGCCGUGGGCGCUGGAGAACUGAGGGGGGGCUGCUCCUAGUACGAGAGGACCGGAGUGGACGCAUCACUGGUGUUCGGGUUGUCAUGCCAAUGGCACUGCCCGGUAGCUAAAUGCGGAAGAGAUAAGUGCUGAAAGCAUCUAAGCACGAAACUUGCCCCGAGAUGAGUUCUCCUGACUCCUUGAGAGUCCUGAAGGAACGUUGAAGACGACGACGUUGAUAGGCCGGGUGUGUAAGCGCAGCGAUGCGUUGAGCUAACCGGUACUAAUGAACCGUGAGGCUUAACCU
rnacentral:rRNA from 1 species